UCGCCUAGGAGUUCAACUAUUCAUUUAUAUGUUGAUGUAUGCCUGACAACAUGUUACUUCUACAAUAAAAAAAUUCAGGGGAUUCGCCUUUUCCUGUCCUAAAGUUCAUUCUCUGUUGGCAGGAAGUUAGUUUGCGUUUGCGCAAUACUCGAGCAGCUACAGGAUGCCGGCGAUAUUCUCUCAGGAGCAUUGCCAGGACGAAUGCAGUAUUGCUGAAGUUCAUUUCUUCUAAUCCUUGUAGUUCACUUCCCCUAAUUCAUGAAGUUUACAUCUCUUGCUACUUGUUAUUUAGUUCAUCCAUUUGGUUUAGAUAUGCACUUGUUUAUUUAGUUCCUUGUGAAAGUCAAUUUUUUGUCGAAGUUCAGUUUUAUUGGUGGGAGAGUUCACUUUAUUUUUUAGAAGUUCAAUUGUUAUAGUGCAGAUAUUCAUUUCUUCCAGCAAAAAAGGUUCUAAUUCACCCACGAGGGAAAAAGUUCGCAUUUUGUUGUCACAAAGUUCACUAUUUUCAAAUCUGGAAGUUCGCAUCUGUUGCUAAUUUUUAUUGUACUUCUAUAUGGUGUGUGGUACUAACUAAAUUACCCUCAGUUCAUGUCACUUGCGGUACUUCUACAUGGUGUGUGCUCCCACACAGCGCCACCUCGCCCUUCAAUGCAGUCCACGGUGUCAAUGAUGAUCGGCAGUCCACAUUGCAUCAAACCAAGAAGUCAAUCUGAAAAGAGGUAAUUUUUUUCUAAAUUAUUAGAGAAUGCACUUUGUUUGUCCCCAGAAGCUCGCAUCUUCUAUCUAGGAAAGUUCAGUGUGUAUACACCUAGUUGUGAAGUUCACUUUAUAUUUUUUAGUUGACCUGAGCUUGUACGUGUAUGGUUAUGAACUUGCGUAUUUUUUAGUUCUUUGUUUUUUAUGGAAAAAAUGAAUCAAGCAUGGGCAAAACACGGUACAAGUAUGUGCUGAUGCGUGUCUGGCUAUAAAAAGUAGAAGUUCCUUUGGUUUACAAAGAAAGUUUAUGUUUCAUUUUGUACAUGCUCACUACUGUCGGUUCAUCUAGAAAAAAAUAGCUUUUCCAUGUGUACACAUAAAAUCAAUUCAUGUGUGCUUUAUUUGUUGUUUGCUAUGGAGAAGUUCACUAAUUUGUUUUUGGAAAGUUCACUCUUAUGCGGUUAGCUAUAUCUAUGGGUAAGUGUCGAUGGUACAGACGUAGAAAACUAGAAGUUCGGAUUUAAUUGUGGAGCAGUGCAGUUCACAUGGGCGUUGGCGAACAUCCGUCGGCGCACCUACCUCCGCAUCGGCGUUGGUGAACAUCAGUGCACACCAAGUUCCUCGUCAGGCUGAGAUGUUUUUGCAACUGACUGGCUAUGAAGUUCACAUCUCUUUUUAGGUCAUGGCCAUGCAGGGAGUUAGCUUCAUCUCUAGAAGAAGUUCAUUGUGGGCUGAAAAGAGCACUGGCAUGGACUCCUGCAAGCACAGCUCUAGACUUCCGCGAGUGAUAGUGUGGUCUUCACGAGCAUUGUCGUUGCCGCUGCUGCUUCAAGCGAGAU